GUGGGUCACUUUGGAGCCAACAAUUCUUGCUUCUUUAGGAGUCCUUAUGAAUUCUUAUCACUCAAACAUCUUUCUAGUUACCAGUUUCCCAAAGCAUACGUCGAUAAACCACCCUCUUUUAUUGAUGUGCAGCUGGAAAAUGGGGGAUGAAGAAAGAGAAACAGGUGAAGUAAUGAAGAUGCUUAUUGUGGCUUCCUGUUAAUAUUCCAAGGCCUGAGGCUCUGAACAGCAGGAUGUCUGUUCUCCAGCUGUUUCUCCAACAGGAAGAAGGGAUAAAGUAAACAAAGCGUACACAGUAGUCCAUUGAAACCACAGGGAAAAAUCAGUCUGUGGAUAGCAUCGUCUGAGAAGUCUGAUGGAUGCUUAGUUUGACUUAAAGAUGAAAGGAUGCUUGAAACUGUUUGCCCAUCAUGGUCUUCAAUUCUAACUGGAAAGGCAGGGAAAUGCACUUUUGAAAGUUUAUGGAGGAAGACCAAUUCAAGCAAGUGAUUCAGAGAUUACAAGUAUCAUGAAAAACAGGAAAUGAGGAAGCAAGACUGUAAUGAAUCCUUAUAAAUGGUAAGUAAAUUAUGCCCUCACAUGUGAAACGAAUUGGCUGUGAAGAUGCAUGGUGUCCCUUCUAAAAUGUCAACAUUCCUGAAUUUAUGAAGUGCUGGUUCAUGUUUCAUUUGCUUGAAGUUUGCUUUUAUUUUUUUUAUCCACAUUCUUGUGUCUUUCCUCAAUUCACUUGUUCAUGGGCUUUGUUUCGUUCACUGCUGAAUUACCAGAGCCCAGAGUGGAGCCUGGCAUACAGUAGGCAUUCAAUAUAUACGUGUUGAGCCCAUCAUUCCAUAAAUCCACUUCUUUGUUAAUUCAUUGAUUGAUUGAUUGAUUCGUUGAUUCAUUCACUCAUUCUCUCAUCAGAGAUCUAUUAUUUAUUAUGUACCAGAUUCUGUGCUAGG